rnacentral:rRNA from 1 species
GUGAGGAAUUUUCCGCAAUGGGCGAAAGCCUGACGGAGCAAUGCCGCGUGAAGGAUGAAGGCCUAUGGGUUGUAAACUUCUUUUCUCAGAAAAGAAUUAUGACGGUAUCUGAGGAAUAAGCAUCGGCUAACUCUGUGCCAGCAGCCGCGGUAAGACAGAGGAUGCAAGCGUUAUCCGGAAUGAUUGGGCGUAAAGCGUCUGUAGGUUGUUUAAAAAGUAUUCUGUCAAAGAUUAGGGCUUAACCCUAGAUAGGCAGAAUAAACUUUUAAGCUAGAGUUUGGUAGAGGCAGAGGGAAUACCCGGUGGAGCGGUGAAAUGCGUAGAUAUCGGGAGGAACACCAAAGGCGAAGGCACUCUGCUGGGCCAAUACUAACACUGAGAGACGAAAGCGAGGGGAGCAAAUGGGAUUAGAUACCCGGGUAGUCC